rnacentral:tRNA from 1 species
AGCUGGGUGGCUGAUAAAAGUAUUAAAUUGUAAAUUUAAUUAUAGGGCUCUUCCUCCUCGCUA